rnacentral:rRNA from 1 species
CCUACGGGUGGCAGCAGUGAGGAAUAUUGGUCAAUGGACGAGAGUCUGAACCAGCCAAGUAGCGUGAAGGAUGACUGCCCUAUGGGUUGUAAACUUCUUUUAUAUGGGGAUCAAAUGUUCCACGUGUGGGAUUUUGUAUGUACCAUAUGAAUAAGGAUCGGCUAACUCCGUGACAGGAGCCGCGGUAAUACGGAGGAUCCGAGCGUUAUCCGGUUUUAUUGGGAUUAAAGGGAGCGUAGGUGGAUUGUUAAGUCAGUUGUGAAAGUUUGGGGCUCAACCGUAAGAUUGCAGGUGAAACUGGCAGUCUUGAGUACAGUAGAGGUGGGCGGAAUUCGUGGUGUAGCGGUGAAAUGCUUAGAUAUCACGAAGAACUCCGAUUGCGAAGGCAGUUCACUGGACUGCAACUGACACUGAGGCUCGAAAGUGUGGGUAUCAAACAGGAUUAGAUACCCGAGUAGUC